rnacentral:lncRNA from 1 species
GAAACACUGAUAUGCUCCAACAAUUCAGUUACUUCUCAACAGAGAUUUAAUAACAGAGCCAUGAGUUCUCUGGUAUUAUCUGCAGCCACCUGAUAAUUUCUCUUCUGACCCACAGGUCAAGACUGGUAUCAAGUUUCUAUUCAGAUUGGCAUGCUCACCAGAAUCCACGCUACUAUACAAGGAGCACUCAUCCAACUGUAUGUGCAGCAGAGCUACUUCUUGAAGGGAUUCUGGCCAGCCAAGGUUUUCAAGACAAAGCUGGAUGAAGCCCAGAGUAACCUGGUCUGAUCUCACAAGUGAUCCUAUUUUGAUCAAAGGACUAUACUACAGACCUCCAGAGGGUCAUUCCUGCCUGAGUUAUCCUAUGAUCAUCUGACUCAAUGAUUAUUCAGACAGAAAUCAUAAGCCUGUUAAGUUUUCCUAUUCUAAUCCACAUUAUUUGCACCUGUUAGGCUGAUGACAGAAUCUGACUUCUUAGGCAACAAAUUCCAGGACUAGAAUUUAUCCACUGGUAGGUUUCAUUCCACUGAAGGACAGAUUAAGGUGGAUUUGUAACAUCUUUGUUUAUCCAAAAAAAUUAAAAGAUUUCGAAAGCAUUUGAAAGUGGAUUUAGGAGAAGCCCAUUAUAUGAACAGGAGCAGAUCUCAUCCAGAAUGUCACAUAAAUAUCAUGCUAUCAAACAAGAAAUGUAAAUUAUCAUACGUACUCUAUAAUUGAAAAGUGUAUUACACAUUAGUGAAGUCACCCAUUUAUCUCAUCAUAAUCAGUUCCAAUAAAAUCUCAUUUAGGAAAGUUGAGAGUAGUUCAGGGUG